UUCCUAAUGUUUUAGGAAGCGCUUCCGUCUGCCAAAAUAUUAAAACGCAGCGACAAGAUGUUCUUCCCGCUCCAGUUUGUUUAGAUGGAUCGUCGCUGCAAUGAACUCACUGUAAUCAAUUGUCCUACUGUUUCCCACAUCAGCCUGCCAAUACAAGAGCUCGUCACUGAAAACACACAAUAAUUAACUUUCGUUUUGUAGCCAAAUGAGAUUAGAUUUUACAGCUUCCAUUAGAUCAUGGAUCUCUGUAUCUUUCAAGGUUGAUCCAUAUUUCCUCAGCCUACUUUUGAGUUCAUCAAACUUAAUAGCACCGCUGUUAUCAAUAUCCAUUGGCUGAAACAUUUCUCUUAAACCAGAAAUCUCUUCUUCCGAGAGGCUCUCAGCUAUAAAACCUGAUGACCCCAAAAAAAGAAAAAAGAAAAAACACAAAUAGAUUCAAGGGAAGUGAUGCAUAGGCCAUAGAAGAUACACGAGUUUGUGAAUGCUUGUUAAUGAUUAGGAAAUUCCACUCAAUAUAGGUUUACAAGCUUUACUAAUGGUUAUCAAAAUAUUUCUAACAUUUUUAAAAGAGUUAGGAUGUCUUUCUUAACUUUUAGGAAAACCUUCAUAAAUGUUUAUAAAGAUUUCCUAAAAUUUUAACCAUAUACAGGUCAUUCCAUCAAAACUAACACCUCAGCUGGUCUCUUGGCACAAUCUCUCUAGAUCAAGAUUCAAUCAUUCAUGCCACUUUUUUUUCUUUUCUUAGAGAACGAAAUAUCUACAAGAAGAGCUACUGUCAAUCAAAAGUUCAUGAGAAGAGCUGCAUAUCAUAAGUUCUAUGGUUAAUUUUUGUUUGUUACCUGCUACUGUCGAUCACAACUUUUAAAUCAUGGAAGGAAAGGAUUUGCUUUGAAUCGUGGAUUUUUAAUGAAUGCUAAAUUCGUCCGAUUGCAAAAUAAGGGCUCUAUUAAAGAAACUUUAGUUUUUGGGAGCCAUUUUAAAGAAUUGCCCUGAUUGAUUUGAUAUGUGAUAAUUAAAUUUAUGAAAAUAUAAUAAAAGGAUUUAUAAUAUCUAUAUUUAUAAGGAACAAAAUAAAAAGCAAAAAAAUAACGUAAUUACCUAUAAUGUUUUAAACAUUAGAGCACUAUAUAAACUCUAAAAAAUGAUUAGUGAAUCCAAACCGACUAACGCAAGUAGGAUGAUAAUAUUUUAAGCGAUAGAACAUUCAGCCCUAGUUAAGAAUUAAUGAAUCCAAACCAAUUCAUAUAAGGUAGGCUAAUCAUAGAACACAUAUGACAAGAAAAAAAUUAACACCAUAAAUUAUAUUGAGAUAACUUUAACGCAAUGCCUUAACUACCCAGCGAAAUGAGUUAAUGUCCAAUGCAGUAAUUACCUAACAAUGUUUCUAUAAAUAUAUUUGUUUCUGCACAAACUUCAAAAAACUAACUCUGCAAAUAAUGUUCAUUCUUCUUAAGUUGCACCACAAAAUUUCUGUUCAAAUGUUACCAAUUCUUUUUUUGUUAACGUUUUCAUUGAUAAGAGAAGCAUAAACCAGAGUACACUAAACGAUGCUAGUAAGCAUUUUACAACGAAAAUCAAAGGCAUAAAUCCCUCGUUAAAACUGGAAACAAACAAAAAAAAAAAGCAAAAGGCAAAUAUAGAGAAUGUAACGAGAUGUCUGAGAUAAACUUCAGAGAACUAAGCAGCAAUGGCUUUAGAACGAAUGAGUUGAUGAAGCCAAGAGGCAAGAUGGACCACCACGACUCCACGAGCAAUAUAUGAUUGAUGCCUCUGGUCACGAGUAACGUACACUGCAAUGGAAUCUGCCACUUGAUUAGUAUAAUCAAGGCUCCAGAAAUCAAAGGGUGUAAGCAAUCUAAAUAUCGAACAUAGUGUAGGUAUCUAGUUACCUAAUAAAUUAUUCUGAGGAUGAAUUUACCAACUCAUUAAAGGUAUCUAGUUACCUAAUAAAUUUUAUAAAACUCAUACCAUAGUAUUCGAAACAAAAUAGAUUCUAAUAGCAUUUGAAAACAAAAAGCAAGAAAUGAUUGGAAACAAAAAAAAGUGUUCUAUAUUUUGAAAUUAAAAGAGAGAGAAUACGUACAAAGACUGAAAAAAGGUUAUAUCAUACAGUUGCCAAGAACAUUCGAAGCCAAAAUCAAAAACACAACUUUCUAAAAUAACUAAAUAUAAAAGGUAACCUAAAUCACAUGCAUAUUUUGUGUCCCUUAUGAACGGGAUGUUGAAGGCCUAGGUCGCGGUAGAGUGUGAGUCGCCAUUAUGUUAAGGUGUCGUAUUAACCUUAGAUUGUUGCUUAGUUUAAGAUUUGAAUUAAGCUAAGCAAUCAUGAUGAAAUUAAAACCAGCAAUUUAAAAACGGUUGUAAACUCGAUGGGAAAGAAUAGAUUCAGGAUUUUUCUUAGGAAAUCAAAGAAUGCAGACAAAUCAAUUAACCAAGAUCCAGGCUUAAACGCGGUUCUUGAACUAAAAUCACGAAAAUAUAGUUAACAAACUUUCGUUGCGAGAAUUAUCUAAGUCUAAAUCUCAUAAUUCUAAAUUUCUUUACAAAUUCUAAAGACUAAAUAAGCAUUAAGUGCAAGUUCGAUAUAUUCACAAAGUAUCUAAACCAAAUUUCUUUGCGGAUAGCUACUUUAAGUUGCUCAUCCUAGGUUAUGUCAGAUUAUUCAAUUACACUUUCGUGUCAAUCAAUUAACCUAAUAUCUAAGUUUUAGGUAGUCAGUCUAGAAUUAGCUUUAAGAAUAAUCUAUGGUGAAAAACUAAUCAGAUUAUGAAACCUAACCAAUCAAUUUAUCUAUCAUCCAAAGAGAUCCUUUAUGAGAACCCUAAACCUAACAAACAAACUACUCAGACAUGGAAAUUGAAACAAGAAACAUGCUUAAAUAUCUUGCAUAAAGAAUUAGAUAGAUUAAGUAACAGAGGUUCAAAAUCUUCCCUCAAGCGAACCGAGUCUCAGACUUGUCUCCCCCAAAAGCUCUCAAGUAUCGAUGAACAAAAAUCAAAAGGUCUACGAAGAAAAUCUAAGGUGUCGCCAAAACAGGUGACUGAAAACCCUAAUAAAUACUAAAAACAUGAGUUGACAUUCCUUUUAAAUAUUGGAGACUUCUGGGCCCAAAAGAUUCUUCAAAACUUGGACAAAAUCAUGUUUUUUCCUUAUUCACAAUAUCGGUGUCGAGCGACACCAUCAGUGAUGUCGAGCGACAAUAUCAGUGGUGUCGAGCGACACCAGGGCAAAUAAUUCAUUCUUCACAAAUUUGAUUCCUGUUUAGUUCCAAAAUGCUCCAAAAUCUCCACUUAAGCUCCAAACGUACAUAUAACCCGAAAAGACUUCAAAAUAUUUGAAAAACAUUUAAAAAAAAACUCUAUAAAUAAAACCUAUAUCAUGGUCAAAAACCUAAAAAACUAUGAUAAAUCAAGAAUCAUUUACUAACGAUUGACAUUAAAUAAACAAAAAAAAACAAUAUGAAAGAAAGAAAAAAUGUGGAACGUGUACUGGAUCACAUUAUUUCUCUUCAUCACUAUCUAAUUCAUAUCAUUUUUGCCGGUGAAAAUGAUUAUAUAUUUGUAUAUUUUGGACUGGAUAUUUGUUUCUUUUUUCUUAUAUCAACAAACGGCUCAACUAAUUCAGCAGACAAAAAAAAAUAGGACAUGGAAGUAUAUGUGUAAAUCAUGGAAGUAAAAUAGGACAUGGAAGUAAACGGCUCAACUAAUUCAUUGGGUGGCAUGGAAGUAUAUGUGUAAAUCAAAGCAGAAGGGAGGUAUGGGCUUUCGGGACAUGGAAUCUUUUAACCAGGCGUUGCUUGCAAAACAAGCAUGGCGGAUUCUAAAUAACCCUGAGAGUCUCGUAUCUCGUCUGUACAAAGGACGAUAUUUCUCCUCAAAUAAUAUUUUGGAUUGUGGUCAAGGCUUUUGGCCUUCAUCUGCAUGCGUAGCAUCUUGUUCGGCAGAGAACUUUUAUCGAGGGGCCUUAUCAAGUCCAUUGGCAAUUGACAGUCCACAAAGAUAUGGAUGGAGAAAUGGGUAAUGGAUUAGCACCCGAGAAGACCAGUGAACAAGCAGAUCUUCUAUGAUCUCGAGUUAAAGGUGAGCUCCUUGAUAUCCAAUGGAAGAUGGAGAGAAAAUGCAAUUCGGGAUUUGUUUCCUCCGGCUGAUGCUGCUCGAAUUCUGAAACUCCCUAUUGGUAACUCAACGGAUCGCUAUAUUUGGGCAUAUACGAAGAAUGGGUCUUACGCAGUUAAUAGUGGUUACUGGUUUGCCAUUAAUCACCCUCUGAUACCCCCUCCGUGUCACCUCCACAAGAGCAGUUGAAAACAGAGCUCAAACGGCGGGUUUGGAAAUUAAGGAAGACUCCAAAAAUCAGAGUCUUUUGGUGGAGGGUAGUUGCAGGAGCUCUAGCAGUGGCGGAUCAUCUUUCCACUAGAGGCGUAAUCUUGAAUAACACUUGUCGUCUGUGCCAGCAAGACGUGGAAUCAAUCAAUCAUGUCAUGUUCCAAUGUGAUUCUGCUCAACAGAUCCUGCAGCUUGCACAGCUACCAGCUCCGGUAUCUGGUUUUUCAUGGGAUCUGUAUAGUAAUGUGGCUUUUCUAUUGGAUGCUAUGGAUGACUCCACACUAGGAAAGGAGAUUCAAAACUCUUUACCUUGGGUGCUGUUGCAUAUUUGGAAGAACAGGAACUCCAUUCUCUUUGCCAAUCAGCAAGAAGCCACAGUGGUGAUUGUGCGUCAUUCACAAGAGGAAGCGGCCUAUGGAAUAAACUGAACGCUCCCAUAGAAACAGAGGAUCGUAACAGGAAUUUAACUGGUCUUGUCGAUUCUUUGUGGCAUCCUCCUUUGGUGGGUAUUGCCAAAUGUAACAUGAAUGCCAAUUGGAGGAAUGAGAGGCUUCGUAGUAGAGGAGCUUGGAUUAUACGAGAUCACAUAGGCUCUGUCCUAUUUCAUGCUAUAGAGGCCUUCACACCCUCUCCAAAUAGACUGGUCGUGGAGCUUCUUGGAUUAAUUUGGACCCUUCAGUGUUGCGAGAUUUGCACUUUACGGAAGUCAUCGUCAUGCCAUAUUUUCGUAUGAUGAUAGAGGCAAUCUCAAAAUCCAUCGAUUGGCCUAGAUUUCGCACCCUUACAGAACAAGUUUCUCAGCUUUGCUCUGGGUUUUCUUUCAUAUCCAUUGAACAUGAGUCAACUGGGGCGAACAGAGCAGCAAGAGCAAUUGCGAAAAGUGUGACCCGGGAUGGCAGAUUUCAACUUUAUCUGGCUAGGGGUGGACCAGCUUGGUUGCUUAAUCUGGUUCGUUAGGUGUUUGAUGCUCUGCUUUUGAGAAUCUGUUUUUGUACUUUCAUCUUACAAUCAAUAAUUAAUCACAGACGAUAAAAAAUAAAAAUAAAAUAGGACUUUCCACAUUUCUUGACUUUAUUAAUUACUUCGAUUAAUACUUAAUACAUAUAUCAAACAAUAAAUUUACAUGUGAUACAGAUAUUUCAAUUGGUUUGAAGUGAAACACGUCAAGACUUGUUUAAUUCCAAUUUGUUUGUGUGAGUAACAAGAAAACUAGAUCUUAAAGAGAGAAAGCUGUUUAACUUUGAAACUUCAUUCUUCCUAUAAAACAUUAGAGUUUUACAUCAUUGAUAUUUAUACUACAAGAAGAACAUUCUAGAUGUCUUAUACAGCUGUCCAAGACAGCUCACAACCCUUUGUCUAACACAGCAAACCUGUUGAAAAUGUCGACUGCAGCUUUAUCAACCAUACCAUUUGUUUCUCUGCUUUUUCCUUUUACCGUUAUGUUGCUGUUUGAUGACUGGGACGUCAUGGGCUUGUGUUGGGCCUGCGACACAUUCUCUUUUCCUUCUUGGUCCAUUCUCUUUGUGUCUUGGCCCGUCAUCUUCUUCUCUGCAAUUGUUGUCAUUGAGCUAAUACCCCCCUGCAAACUCGAGGUGGGAGGAUUGUCCACACCGAGUUUGUACCUGAGACUGAAGAAGCUUGCUUGGGGAAGAGACUUCGUGAAGAUUUCUGCGAGUUGUUGAGCUGCAGGAACAUGUUUGAUCACAAGUGAGCCGAGAGCAACCUUUUCCCUUGCAAAAUGGUAGUGCGUUUCAAAGUGCUUGGUUCUGGGAUGAAAGACUGGAUUAGCGGACAACUGAACAGCAGAUAAGUUGUCGCAAUAUAUUUCUGCAGGUUUGUCUUGAGGAACACCAACUUCUUUCAGCAGAGAGGAUAUCCAAGCUAACUCUGCAGCAGUAUCCGAUAGAGAGCGGUAUUCUACUUCUGUUGAGGAUCGAGACACCGUAGGCUGUCGCUUCGCAGACCAUGAGAUGAUGUUUGAUCCCAAAAACGUGCAGAAUCCUCUAGUUGACCUUCGUGUUUCACGGCAUCCAGCCCAAUCGCUAUCGCUAUAGGCCCUUAGAGUAGAAUCAGACUCUGCAGUGAAGUGUAUUCCCAUUUUGACAGUUGCUUUCAGGUAACGAAGAACACGUUUGAGGAGAGUGAAGUCGGAGACAGUAGGUUAAUGCAUUCUCUGCACACAAGGUUGACCGCAUAUUGUAUGUCUGGUCGAGUAAGUGUUAGGUAUUGAAGCUUGCCCGCUAAGCUUCGAAAGUAGGUCGGUUCGGGAAAAAGUUCAUCCUGAUGUGGAACUUUCUCGAUCUGUAAUGGCAGAGGUGUAGGCAUGGGGGCACACUCAAGCAUUCCUGCAGUUUGUAACAAGUCAAGAGCAUAUUUUUCUUGAUUUAGAAACAGACCAUUAGAAGUAAACAGAGCCUGAAUUCCAAGGAAAUAGCUCAAAGGUCCCAUAUCCUUCAUUCUGAAUUUUUCCCCGAGGCAAUCAAGAAGCUUGGCGAUCAGUGAAUUGUCAUUCCCUGUUAACACCAUAUCAUCGACAUAAAGCAGUAAUAAGAUUACACUGUUGUUCCGUGUGAAGAUAAACAGAGAGGGAUCAAUAGUGCUGCCAAUAGAACCAAACUCAAUCAGGUAAGAGCUGAAUUUGUCAAACCAAGUCAUUGGAGCUUGUUUUAAACCAUAAAUUGCUUUGUGCAGCUUGCAAACAUGGUCAGGAUGUAUAAGAUCUUCAAAUCCUGGUGGCUGUCUCAUAUACACAACUUCACCAAGGUCUCCAUGUAAGAAGGCAUUCUUUACAUCAAGUUGUUUAAUAUCCCAUCUUUCAAUAGUUGCAGUGUGUAGAACCAUUCUAACUGUUGCAGUUCUGACCACGGGACUAUAAGUCUCCAGAAAAUCUAUACCCUCCUCUUAUUCAUAGCCUUUCGCAACCAGUCUAGCUCUCAGCUUGUCUAGAGUUCCAUCGGCAUUCAACUUAGUCUUGAAAACUCUUCUGCAACCCAAGAUAUUUAUAUCAGCCGGUGGAGGAACCAAACUCCAAGUAUUAGUGUCCUUACAUGUUGUCAUUUCCUCUUCACAUGCAGCUGUCCAACCCGGGUGUUUCAGUGCCUCAGUGAUACUGGUUGGUUCAGUGGGGAUUCCUUUAACAGCAAACAGAAUAUACCGUGGGUUUGGUUUUACCACUCCUGCUUUGCCUCUGGUGACCAUUGAUUGAGUGUUCUGAGGUGGUAAGGACUGAGUUGAUGAACCUUGUGAGGAUCCAGACCGAUGCACACUGGAGUCUUGACAUUGCAAAUGCAUCGAAGAGGAAGGAGAUUGAACCAGAGAGGUAGUCAACAGUACAGUUGGUGAAACUGAUGAAACUCGAGGGGAUUGAUCUGUAGAGGGCUGAGUGGAGGUGGAAAGAGGAACAGUAAUCUCACUAAUUCGAACCUUCACUGGAACCGUAGAGGAAGACGUAGUUGGAGAAUGUUGAUGACCAUAAUACCACGAAGUCAUGAGAGGAGUGGUGGGAAAUGGGACAAACAUUUUGUAAAUAUCCGUAAAUGGGAAUCUUUGUUUAGAGAGCUUGGAGAGACAAGUCUGAACUCUGUUCGUUUAGAGAGAAGAUUUUGAACCCCUUUAUCUAUUCGAUUCAUCUUAUUUUGCAAUCUAUUCAAUCAUGUGUGUUGUUUCAAUAUCCAUGUCUGAGUAGUUAACCUUUUAGGUUUAGGGUUCUCAUUAAGGUUUUCACUAGAUGUUUGAUUAAUUGAUUAGUUAGGGUUCACAUUCUUGUUAGUUCUUCACCAUAGGUUAUUCUUAAAGCUAAUUCUAGACUGAUCAGCUAGAACUUAGAUCAUUAGAUUGCUUAAUUGACACGGAAGUAUAAUUGAAUAACUGGAAAGAACCUAGGAUGAGCAAAGUAGCUUUUCGCAAAGGAAUUUGGUUUAGAUGCUUUGUGAACAUAUCGAACUUGAGCAUUAAAGCUGGUUUAAAUCUUUAGGAUUUGCAAAGGAAUUUGGAAUUCUAAGAUUUAGAUAAUCCUCACAAUGGAAGUUGGAUAAUUAUAACUUUGUGAUUUGAGUGCAAGAACUGUGCUUAAACCUGAACCCUGAAUAAUCGAUUUAUCUGCAUUCUUUGAUUUUCUGAGAAACGCCCUGAACCUAAUCUCCAUCCAUUCGAAUCUUAAAAACGUUUUUACUGCUUUGUUAUUUUGUUGUUCAUCGUUUUUCUUAGCGUAAUUCGAGUCUAAUAGGUUUAUUGAGUGAAUUUCUUGUCUUUGUGAUUCGACCCCUAAUACUACAACUGCACAUCUGUGUUCUUGCAGAGUAGCUUAGGGACUAAACUUUGAGCAGAUCGCACACUUUUCGUAGUUUUCUGGGUAGAUUCGACAGUUCAAUCCAAAAAUAAGCCCCAACUCUCUCAGAGAAUACCAGAUGGGCACUGCAUUCACUACAAACCAGCAUUCCUUCAUCUUUCUUGAUGACACCAUCCGUAGAAUGAGCAUCCACAUCCCCUGUGAUUUAUGGUUUUCUUCCAAGUACAUGUGGAAGAAAUACUUGAACUGAGGGUGUGUUUUGAACCACCUCAACUCUCUAACAUCUAGCACGUUUUCCAAAGUUUUCACAACCUUCUCAACAUAGCACCUUCCUGACAGCUUGAUGUUCAUAUUAAACUUCCAGGGUUCAAAGAACAUGUUUGAUGGUGGUAUAGCUUGGAAUUGAUACUCUUCAUCUUCUUCCGCCUCCUCUUCCUCCUCUUCUUCGUCCUCCUCUUGGUCCUUUUCAUCAUCCUCCUCUUGGUCUUUUUCUUCGUCCUCCUCUUGGUCAUUUUCUUUGUCCUCCUCUUGGUCUUUUUCUUCUUCUUGGUCCUUUUCUUAGUCCUCCUCUUGGUCCUUUUCUACGUCCUCCUCUUGGUCCCUUUCUUCCUCCUCCUCUUUAUCCUUCAGACUCUAUUUCUUCUCUUUUUCCUCGGUGUUCUCCUACAUUAGUUGUACAGUAUUACUUAGUUAGUCCAGUUUUACUCAGUAUACCAAUUUUACUUAUUACCCAAAACAAUAUCAAUGUAUGUUUCCAAACAUACCUCUACAUUAAGGUAAUGAGGAUCCGUAGUGGGACUGUCUUCAACUUUGUUUUUGGCUACACUUGUAUCAUGCAAAGAUGGCUUAUCCUCAUCAUCACUUUUAUCGGCUCUGCUUUUCACUGGUUCUUGAUGGCGCCUCACCAUUUCGUGCAAUUAAUUUAGUGUCGGAGGAGCAAAUUUAUCUAUAGUGGAGUUUCCAGUGGUUGUCUUCGUAUGAGCCAUUCUAGAGAAGUGUUCGAUCGAUUGAAUUGCGAUGAAGAUGAAUUUGAAGGCGCACCUUCUUUCCACGAUGGAGUUAGCGAUUCCGAUUGGAGACGUUUCUCGGGUCUCGGCGACAACUGAAUUUUUUUUUAUGAAGUUAAAUAAAUUAAAAGAAAAAAAACAAUAAAUAUGAUAGAUCUGUAAUUAUGCAUACUGUAAUUGGGCUUUUAGAUUUUACUCAUUAUUAUCGAAUUAAAGAAAAACAAAUUAUUAGAGAUGGAGUAUUCUAGGCAUUUGUCCUUUUAAACUGAACCUGAGGGGACAAAAAAAAAAAACUGAACCGAGGGAACCGAACAGCAAUACUAUAAAUAUAUCUGAAUUUCAGUGGUUUGGUUUGGUACCAAACCGAACCGACCAGAUCUUCGUUUAUUUUUUUCCUAUUUCCCUUAACUAACAUAUACCAAGUCGUUUAAGUGCUUUAUUUUUUUUAAUGAACUAUAAAUUACGUAAAAUCAGAUUGGUUAGUGUCGGAUUUACUCAACGGAUGCCAACCAAAUUACUAAUAAUAUAACCCGUUUAAUGCUAAAUCAUACAUAUUUAGCAUAAAUGAUUGUUAUACAAACUACAAAAUAGCAUCAACUGUCUUUUCAAUUCUUUUUUGUUGGUGUAUGAGCAUGGGAAUAUGUUAGCAGAUUAGUCCAGCACUUUGAUCUCAAUGAUCCCAAAUAACUGAAAACUCAAAGAAAAUCAAAAACAAAAAGAGUUCUAAUCUCAGAGAAACCAAAAAUAGAUAAAUAAGAGAGUUCAAACAUUAGAUACGAUCAUCAAAAAGCAACAUACCGUUAACAUGUUUCACUCUUAAUGAUAUUUCAAAUACAUCAGAAUUCUAUUAUUUUUUACAGUGCUUGGUCAUAACCUGAAUUUAAACCUCCUUUACUUGAACUUAUGUUACUUAUCCUUGUAUAAUCGGGUCCGUGAGCUCUGUUUCUUAUGUUUCUAAGCAUCAUCAACUAUAACUUCUCUAGAGAUCUUGUGUGCCUGACAACGAACACCACUAUAUCAAACUCAUGCCAAAGGCUUUUAUGGCCGUUGACCUCGACUUCCCUGAUAGAUUUAAACUGGCAGUUCCUCUUCUGAAUAGCUGUAUAAUGAAUCUUCCAAAACAUACCAGGUUCAAAUGAGAAAUUCUUAAUCUGCGCAAACAAACAAAUUUAAUGAGCUUAGUCUCAGGGUCUUGCCUAAGGCUUUUGCCUCAUGCACCCAUAUAAUAUAAAUGUUUUGAGGCCCUUGAUAUUUGAAAAUCUGUUGUACCAUGGCUAAAGUGGGAUUUAUGUACAAACGAGUUAAAGUGUGAUAAUCUCUUAAACUCGAGUUAUAAAGAGAUGAAACAUAGCCACACAAAGGAUUUUCCUUUUUUAAACGAGAAAAAAAACAAGUAAAUCGAGAUUUUGAAAAAGAAUCUUUACUUUUUAUUCCUCUGUGUGGCUGUGUUUCAUUUCAUAUCUUUUAUUACAUGUUCUUCUCUCUUGUUUAUCAUAGAUUUUUUUGAAUAGUGGUACGAAGAUAGAAAAACAAUUAGGUUUGCCAUGAUGAACAAAACCAAUCUGAUUUUCGAUCUUAGAUCUCUUUUUGCUUUUCUGAAAAGAAAAUAAAUAAAUAAAUCGUAUUGAUAAUCUCUUAAGAUCUUUAUUGAAAAAAAAAGAAAUAUUAUGUCUUAAUUUUUUAGAAUUAAAGUGGUUUAAAUAUAUUAUAUCGUUUGAGAUUAUAUGAUAUGUUUUAUAAAAUAAAACGCCUCAUUUUUUAAUUUUGCCUUGAACCCCUAUGAACCUCAAAUCUUCAAUGAUGCGUACAACCUCUUAUUGACUGCAUCUACAAAUUCAAUAAGAAAAAAAGUAAAAUAUUUCCUCCGCCUCAUGGCAUUCUUUGAUCACUUGAGAAUGAUCCACUGCAAUAAAUGAAAUUAUAUUUGAAGUCCUCUUAGAUAACAUACUGUAUAUGUGCAUGAUAAUAGACAUAUAUUAGUCUAAAAGCACUUCGAUCUCACACAAGUUCAAAUUUGAGAUGAAAAAAAGAGAACAAAUAGAGUUUGAAUCUAGUACAAACCAUAAAAAAAAAAACAUGAAAUGAUUGUUUCACUACUCUUUAUGAUGUUUCAAACACAUCCAAGGAGCUAUUAUAAUCUGGUAUGCCUGGGCACAACCUGAACUUAACCUUAGAGAAAUUCAAUGAGAUCUUUCUUUUGCGAUAUGCUUUUUAUGUGAUUGAUCCUUGCAUCAUUGGGUUCGAAUAGCUUGCUCUUUGGGUUUUUUGGCUUCAUCAGCGUUAACUUUUCUAGAGAUUUUGCGUACCGGACAAAGAACUCCAUUAUAUCAAGCUCAUGCCCGUGAUUUUAUAGCCCAUUAUCUCGACAAACUUAAUACUGUUCAAGCGGUAGUUUUGUAUCUGAAUAUUUUUCUUAUGAUGAACCUCCCAAAAAACUCCAGGUUCAAAUGUGAAAUCAUUUAUCUGCACAUAGCAAACCAAAGUUGUAAUGGACUUAGUCCAUUGGUAGAAGAGAAGUAUUGUUUUGGUAGAUUAAUAUACAGACAUAUAUAUAUAUAUAUAUAUAUAGAGAGAGAGAGAGAGAGAGAGAGAGAGAGAGAGACUUACAUCGAUCAAAACCUUUUUGAGGUUAGGGCACUGAUUGAGGAAUCCAGCAAUGACAAAAAGAUUGCAAAUUGAUGGAGCUUUAAAACAUAUCUGAAAUUCUUGUAAGUUCCCAAAACAGAAAGUCGGUUUUCUCAUGUUUCCGUCUAUGUAUCUAUACGUGAAAGCCUAUACAUAUACAUGUGAAAGGAAACAUCAAAACUCACUCUAAAGCAAGAGUGAAAAAUUAUAAUUAAAAGAAAAACACAUGUGAAAGCUGCAGUCUAUGUGUGAUGAACAUUCUCUAUCAUGAAUUUUUAAAGAGUUUAUGCAAAUGAUACCUCUAAAAUCUAAGCUUUAGUAAUGAUGCUUGCUUAAAAAUGAGUACCUAAUCAUUUUAAGAAUAAGAUUUCUAUCAGAUUCUAUUUGUUUCAGUGUCAGAUGUAACUGUACCUUAUCUAUGUUGAACUUGAUCUCAUCUUUUUACAGAUAAGUACUUUUUGUAAUUUAAUCAGAUUCGUCUGCUCGCUUAAGAUCAAUAUAAUCGGAUUUUAGAUCAUCAUAGAAACAACAUGUGGGAAUGCGUAUUGUUUUCGUGUAGACGUCUAAGAUAAACAUUUUCCCAACUCGUGCAUAUGAUCUCAAAAUGAUAUCAUAAACUCUACACAGCUAUUAUAACUCUUGCAAAAACUAUCUUAUAAAUUUAUAAAAACUAAAUUACAACAAAAAAAAAAACUUACCUCAAGAAAGAUGUUUGUCGUUGCAAGGAACUGAACUCUUGUAUAGGCUCUCAUAUUAGCCAGCACCAUAUCAGAUGGGUCGUAAAAAUGCCAAUCGUAACUCCGCUUAUAAUGGAAUUCUGCUUCUUUAACUGCAUAGACUCUUGAAAAGUCAACCUUCCUGACAUAUCCAUAAUACUUGAAGCAUUCGAGAGUAGGUGAAUCCAACUUAAUGUCCAAGAGAUUCCGCAUAUAAUCAACGACUAGCAACCUAAACUUCUUAUGGUUUCUAGCGUUGAUGCUCAAUAUCCCAUACAUUUGACAUUUGAUUAGCUCAAACGUCUCGAGGUGGAUGCAGUUGGUGAAUAUUGCAUCUAUCAUCUCUUUUGUCACUCUAUCAAUUUUCGUUAGCACAAGUAUCUUCAAUAACUUUAAACCCUUUGGAGAAUUAUCCGGUAUUUUGAACUUACACCAUCCUAGCUUCAAGACUGUUAGCGUCUCGAUGGCCGAGAAAUCAACCGGGAUCUCGAAAACUGUAUUUGAUUUAGAGAAAUCCAACACAAGCUCUUGAAUGUUUUUACCAAGACAUGUAUUGACCCAUGAGAGUACCUUGUCUUCCACACCGAUGUGAUUGAGAAGUAGAACAAAUCGAUUAAUCUCCGAGCCUUUGUACUGAUUAAAAACGCUUUCGAUGAUGCUUACAGCGCUUAGUUGACUGCAUCUUACAGAGUAGAUUUUGCUGAAAUCAAGAUCUCGGGACCGAAUCUCUGUGGCUUUGAACUUUUUGGAUACAGAACGAUUUUGUAAAACAGAUUGAAUUGGUAGACAUACCGACAUGAUGUGGUCCACCAGGUCGUCGGGCAAAGUUUCAGUGACCUUUAUCUUCUUAUUCGAAGAUUCUAACAUUUUCACAAUACUCUUAGAGAGAGCAGUGGAUUCUCGCUAUAACUUUCGGGGAGUUAUAUGCAGACUGGAAAACUAAGAUUUUCUUGCCUUUGUUUUCAAUUUUCUAUUGAAUGAGUUGUUUAAAAAACGUGCAUGUAUGGAGUGAAUAAUUAUGGUACAUUAAUUUUAUUUGUUUUUACAGAGGGAUACAAGCUGUACUUUCUAUACUUUCUAUACUUUUGUAAGAAACAGAUUGGCUAUCUACCUUUUACCAUAUGUAAGAUAUUAAUAUAUAUAUAUAUAUAUAUUUUUAUGUAUUACCUUAUGUAAAAUAUUAAUAUUUAUAUUAAAAUAUGAUAAAAAUAUGUGAAUAUGUAAUGAAAAUUUGGUUUGUCCAUAAACAUAUUUUUGGAUAUAUAUAUAUAUAUAUAAUAGCUAUAUAUUAAUUUUUAUGUCCAAAUAUAUUAUAUUAUUUACUAUUCUUAACCAAUAAAUUUAAUUACAUUCAAGAAGAAAUGUUUGGAUGUUUGUUAGUAUAAUUUGUUUCCAUAAUUUAUAUAUAGAGUAGUUAGACACAAUGUAGACACGUGUCUUGUUAAUAAAAAAAUGCCUUAAAGAUUUAUAUACAUGUCAAAAUUUUAGGUAAAUUUAAAAUUUAUCUUUUACAUCUUAUUAUUAUGAAAUUAAACUGUUUUUGCUAGCUGGUAUAAAUAAUAAUAAAAAAAUAUUAGAGUUUCACUAACUUCCAAUUUAAACUCCAAUUUCUUAUUUUUCCAUUUUUCCAAACUUAAUCAAUUUUUAGUUUCUCUUUUUUUUUUUUGUUAGCAGACAAAUUAUCUAACACUAGUAAAAAUUUUUAGUUUAUGUACGUGUAAACUCUAAUUCAGUUUAUUACUAUAUGUCAAUGUAAUAGUGUUGUUGUUUGCAAUUUUUUAUAUCAUGUAACAUUUCUUUUAUAUUAAUAAUAUUAAUUUAAUUUUAGCGUACAUAUUUGAUUUGAUAUGUGAUAACUAAAUUUAUAAAAAUAUUAUAAGAUAUGUAGUUACAUGGAUUAAAAUAAAAUAUAAAACCAACAAAAUAAUGUAGUUACCUAAUGAGAUGAUAAUAUUUUUGAUGUUGGACUAUUAAACUCUAAUAAAAGAUAGUGAACCCAAACUAAUUAAUGUUCAAACCUAAACUUUAAUACAUCAUCUAGUUUCAAUAAGAAUGUUAGUUCUUACUGUUCAUAUUUUAUGAUAUGUGUUAUGUAUAAAUGAUGAGAAGAUUUCAUUGAUACAGAAUCAAUUCCAAUAGACUUAUUGGAGGGUCCCAUUGGCGUUAGGCGUUUUAACCAUUCAGCCAUUGAUGAUUAGUAGGGAUUCUCGUACAUGGUGAAUAACUAAAUUCCAAUUGAAAUGAAAUCUUUAGGAUAAAUCAAUGCAAUUUAGAAAGAAUCAAUGAAAGGACAUCAAUUCAAUUCCUGGAUUUUCAAAUUGAGAGAAAUAGUGAGAGAGAUUAAAAAUUCACAUUAUUUCUUAUAUUCAUGAACCCAAUUUAAUUCAGUAGGAUCUUUCAUUCAUAUUUUUUUCCACAAAAACGUUUUAUAAAAUUCUUGGAUCCUCAAAUUUUUAGUAUCCUACUUUUGCGCAAAUCCAUUAAUCAGUUUGAGUUCACUAAUCUUUUAUUAGUGAACCUAAACCCAUUAAUCGGUUUGGUUCAUUAAUCUUUUAUUUUUUGACCAAGUCAUAAUAUACUACGAAAUUUAUAUAUUAUCUUGAUGAAAACAUUGCUUGAAAAUCCAGGAUUUAUAUAUUAUUUGAAUUUGAAAAUCCAGGAUUUGAAAAUCCAGCUCACAAUAUACUACGAAAUUUAUAUAUUAUCUAAAUUUGAAAAUCCAGGAUUUGAAUUGAUAUCCUUUCAUUGAUUCUUUCUAAACCCACCCACAUUCUGAUCCCUCAAAAAUACCAACGUUAACCAAAAUCACUUCGCUCCAUAUAAAUUAUGUCCAGCUGAAACGUUAUUUACAUCUCAUGUAUGUUUAUUUAUUUUGAAAUUUUGAGCAUUAAAAGUUUUCCAAGUUGCUAAUCAAAUCAUGUCAUAAAAAAAGGCAAAUAUAAUACUCUUGUUGAAAUAAAGUGGGUAAAUUUUCAAUGAUUAACUCGUUGCAAUAAGUUAAAAAUAUUAUUUAGAUAUAUUCUCAAGAUCAUAAACAACAAUCAAAUAUCAAUGAUCUUAAACUAUUUAUGAGCAUGAGAAUAGACAUAUAUUAGUGUAAAAUGACUUAAUUGAUCUCACAGAAGUUCAAAUCUGAGAGAAAAAAAAACGAAAAUAAAUAGUUUUUAUUUUUUUAUUUUAAUAAAUAGAGUUCAAUUCUAGAAAAAAGAAAUCAGAAAAAGAGAAAAAAAAACAUUAAAUGAUUGUUUCACUACUCUUUAUGACGUUUCAGACACAUCAAAAGAGCUAUUAUAAUCUGGCAUGCUUGAGCACAGCCUGAACUUAACCUUAGAUAAAUUCAAUGAGAUCUUUCUUUUGAGACAUGCUUUUUAUGUAAUUGAUCUUUGCAUUAUCAGGUUCGAAUAGCUUGAUCUUUGGGUUUCUAGGCUUCGUCAACGUUAACUUUUCUAGAGAUUUUGCAUACCUGACAAAGAAAUCCAUUAUAUCAAGCUCAUGCCAGUGGUUUUUAUAGCCCAUGAUCUCGACAAACUUGAUACUGUUCAAACGGUAGUUGUGAAGCCGAAUAUGUUGCUUCUGAUGAACCUCCCAAUAAACUCCAGGUUCAAAUGUGAAAUCAUUUAUCUGCACAUAAAAAAAUCAAUUAUCACGUAGAAUCGAGGUAUUGUUUGGGUAGAUUAGUACAUAUAUAUAUACAGAGAGAGAGGGAGAGACGUACAUCGAUCAAAACCUUUUUGAGGUUAGGGCACUGUUCGAGGAAUUGAGCAAUGUCAAAAAGAUUGCAAAUUGUUGGAGCUUUAAAGAAAUCUGAAAUUCUUGUAAGCUCCAAAAGCAGAAAUUCGGUUUUUUCAUUUCUCCUCCAUCGUACUUAUACGUGAAAGCCUAUACAUAUACAUGCGAAAGAAACAUCAGAACUCGCUCUAAAGCACGAGUGCAAAAAUAUUAACAAGAGAAAUUAAUAUGUGAAAGCUGCAUUUAUGAAAAAUCUCUAUCAUUAACAUUUAAAGAGUUGAGCAAAUGAUACUCCCUAGCCACUUAAGCUUUAAAAAAUAAUCCAUGCAAAAAAAAAAUGAGCACGUAAACUUAAAAGAAUAAGAUUUCUGUCAGAUUUUAUUUGUUUUUAGUGUCAGAUCUUACUGUACCUAUUGAGAUUAUUUUUGUUGGAUUCCACAACUAAGUUAAUUCUGAAAGUUGUCUACCAUUAAUUUCUAGAUACCCACUAAGACAAAUAAGAAAAUAAAAAAUAAUUCGAGACAUGUCUAGUGAGGGUGGUAUAAGGUCUUAUAUAGGUCUUCAAAAAAUUCUUGUUGGGUCAAAAAGUAAUCAAAUGUGCAACAUUAUUAACGAAGAUUACGAAACAGAGUAAAUGGUUUGGUCAGCCAAAUAUAUUAUCUAGAAGGCAAAAAGGUUUUAGUAAUGGUGUUGAGAAUUAGGUCGAAUCUAACUAGAAUAAAGUUGAAAACAAGAGAGAAUUUAAAACAAAUUGAUGCAGAUACCUUAUUUUGGGGUUUCUUUAUUAUUGUUGGAAUUUAUAAUACAAACCUUUAGACCCAUAUCUAUCAACCUUAAAAUUUGAUUCCUAAUCCUAAUUAGUAAAUGAAACUUUUUUUUAUCCCAAUAAAAAAAUAUAUCAUACAGUACUUAAGAAGAUUCAUUAGCUCGGUCAGAAAGGACCAUAUAUAUACCAUACUAACUAAAUCAGAUUUUAAGUCGUGUUUCACACAUCUAAGACCUAAGUGAUACAAUUUCCUAACUUUGUAAUCCUGUGAUGAUUCAAAUUUUCCUCUCUCUCUCUUUCACUUGAUAGAAACCAGAACAAAAUUAUAUAUGUUAUUAAAAAGGAGAAUUAAUUGCAUGAGUGCUUGAGAAUGGCCAUAUGAUUUUUUAAACAACUUCUUCAUAUAAUAGAAAAGCACCUAUCCAUAAUAGAUAUCACUUCCUUAAAAGACAUCUAAAUAAAAUAUUUCUAUGAUCUCAACUCGUGCAUAUGAUACCAUAAACUCUUCUCAGCUAUUAUAAAUAAACUAGCAAAAAAAUUAUUUUUUAAAUUUAUAAAAACCAUAUUACAAAAAAAUAAGACUUACCUCAAGAAAGAUAUUGUUCGUUGCGAGGACACGAACUCUUAUAUAGGCCCCCAUAUUAGCAAGCACCCUUUCAGAUGGAUCGUAAUAACGCCAAUACAAACUUCGAUUAUAGUGGAGGUUUGCCUCUUUAAGUGCGUGCACUCUUGAAAAGUAAACCCUCUUGCAAUAUCCAUCAUACUUGAAGCAUUCGAGAGUAGGUGCAUCCACAAUAAUUUGCAAGAGAUACGGCAUAGUAUACACGACCAGCGACUUAAACUUCUUAUGAUUUACAGCAUUGAUGCUCAAUGUCCCAAACAUUUGAAAGUUGAUUAGCUCAAACGUCUCAAGGUGGAUGCAGUUGCUGAAUAUUGCAUCUAUCAUGUCUGUGUUCAUAUCACCAGUCUUAGUUAGCGAAAGUGUCUUCAAUAACUUCAAACCCUUUAGAAAAUUAUCUGGUAUUUUGAACCUACACCAUCCUAGCUUCAAAACUGUUAGCGCCUCGAUGGCCGAGAAAUCGACCGGGAUGUUAGCAACUUUUCUUGAUUUAGAGAAAUCCAACACAAGCUCUUGGAUGUUUUUACCAAGACAUGUAUUGAUCCAUGAGAGUAUCUUAUCUUCCACUCCGAUGUGAUUGAGAAGUAGCACAAAUCGGUUAAUCUCCGAGCCUUUGUGCUCAUUAAAAACGCUUUCAAUGAUGCGUACAGCCUUCCGUUGAAUGCAUCUCACGGAGUAUAUUCCGCUGAAAUCAAGGUCUCGGGACCAGAUCUCUAAGUCUUUAAACUUUUUGGACGCAGAACGAUUUCGUAAAACAGAUCGAAUUGGAAGAUAUACCGACAUGAUGUGGUUCACGAGGUCAUCAGGCAAAGUUUCGGUGACUUCUGUCUUCUUUUGUGAAGAUUCCAUCAUUUUCAACAAAGAACAUUAGAGUUGUUUACAGAAAUUUUCAGUGUACAAUGAUUUAUAUGUAGACUAUCAUAGAAAACUCUGAGAGUUUUUGACUAUAUACACAUAUAGUUUUUUUAUUGAUUUAAGCAAUAUAAUUAUGAUACAUUUAAUUUAUUUCUUUUUGUUUUUUUUUUAAAUAUAGCAAAAUUGUACUUUCUAUAUUUCUUAAAAAAACAGUUUGACUGGUGUAUUUCUUAUCUUAUAAAAAAAAUUAACAAUACAUUAUAUUAGGUAUAGUAUUAAUAUAUCUACAUUAUAAAAACAAUGUUAAUACAUAUGUUAUGCAAUUUUUUUUCCAUAAACAUAUAUUUUUAUAUAUUAAUUGUUUUGUCCAAAUAGUUAUAUUAGUUGUUGGGAUCAAUUCAAUCUUUUCUUAUGGACGAAUCACGUGCUUGUACGUAGCGUUCAUGAUUUUUUUACAGGUAUAACUCUUCUGAGCCAAAUUAGAAUUCGUAUUGGGUUUACGGUCCAAUAUGACCUAAGCAUAUAAUACCAGGCCUCGAAUCCUUUUAGAUUUAAGAGAUUCAACACGAUAGGUCACAUGUUUCCAGAUUCUUCGUAUUUGAUAGUGCCGGCCAUGCUGUCAGAGACAAAAAGGUUGGAAACUGAGUAAUCAGGAGGAGGAGAGAUUACAUUUCCUAUGUCCUAGGUCCAAGCUCGGUAAUCUAGAAAGAUUGGGAUAUAAGGAAGUGUAACCCACACAAAUACCUGGAGAAUAAAGUCAGACAGUGAGACAACCUUGGCAGCCCAGUCCCAGUAUCGAGAGAUCCGAGCCAGGUACAAAUAAUCUUUUAAGUGGGAAACACUGUUUAAAUUUCCCUCCGUUCGACAAUCAGAAUAUGCCUUGGUCUGAUUUAAUUGCUCAUACCCUCACAAACCCCACGAGAUUGGCAUUUAAUGCACCAUUUUUACACAUGUCAGAUGAUAAUGACCAUACCAAGAAGGCAGAAGAAAAGCAGAGAUUCAGCAAAAGUCAUACCGCGUCUGAAUCGUCAAACCCAACCCAUACGCUGGGGUGAAAGAGAAGCGCCAAAGAGCGGUCUCGCAUGAGGCUGAAAACGCCAAAAAAAAUGGUGAGAGCGUCUGAGGCAUGAUGUGAGCAUAAGAUUCGAGUCUAGCCAAAUCGCAUUGCAAACCAAACCGCCUGACUCACGAUCUGAGAACCGACCCGGUAUACGAACCUGGGUCAGGUAAAUUUCUAUAAAUACUCUCUUCCUUUCAAUAAGGAAAGGGUUCGCUCCUUUCGCCACCUUAAGGUUCAUACUAUCUUUCUAGACAUUUAUGAUCAUUAAACUAUAUCACAUUAGACUUUCUGGUCAUUACUCUAACCAUCUCUUCACUUCUACUCCAUGGUGGUUCAUUAAGCUAUAGCAAUCUCACCCCAAAAUUCUUACACUUCUUUUCUUUUCACCUCAAAAAGCUCAUUAUUACUCAAAGGCCCGAGUCGAUUCCACCUUUCUCAGGAACAUUCAGUCCACUUUCCUUCUCUCGUUUUCCAAUCUCUUUCCUCUCUCCGAUUAGCCACUUUGUGGUUUUUUUUCACUAUUUUCUGACUUGAGCGUCGGAGAGCCAACGGAAAACACAUCCCAUUGUGUGUUUCCAGGCCUUCAUGCGUUUAGUAGUUUUGCAGGAGACUUGCCCUUGCAGAGGAUUAAAAAUCACUCAAACAGUUUGGCACUAGAAAGAAGGGGCAACACUCUUCGAGGCAAAAUUUCUCUUCUCAAGUCAGAAAACCACCAAAAAAUUUGAUCUGGGGGCAAUAACCUGGAUAUGCAAACGGGAGAGAGUCACGCAGAGGUUGACAGUGAACCAAGCAUUAGCGAAGUCGGAGCUGGGAACCGCCGACGCCAAGGAGACAUGACCAAGUCUGGAGAGGACGAACCUGACAUGCCCAUCAGCUCAAGAAAUCCCAACAGAGGGAGAACAUCAAAGGAGGGGGAAGCAACAGAGAUCCGAAGAUAGCCGUAGACCAGGGAAAGAAACCGAGAGAAAAUCCCCUCAAGACGUAUUCCAGUGAUAUCUCCAGAUGGUGCGACCAGAACCAAUUAGAGGUAGAAUCAUGGAUAAUGCACCCCCAUGCCAUACGAGAUCUAGGGGGAGGAGAUGAACCCGCUUCAGAGGAGCAAAAAAUGUGGAAUAUCAUGGUGUGAGUAUCACCGAUCCGAGGGGCAUCAGACUGAGGACUGUUGAGAUUUCACAAAGGAGAUAUUGACGCUGGUUCACCACCCGUCGAUGCAGCCUCUACUAUCUAGUAAAGCGCAGCGAAUGCUAGAUAAACAAGAUCAAGUGAUAGGAGGCUUCGUCAGGGUCAGUCAUGUCGAAGAACACAUAGAAGAAACCAGGAAAGGGAACCUCGACAAGGCGCCCAGGGUUCAAAGACGAUUAGCUCGCCCGUCGGAGUUCUUUGACACGGCGGAUGAAUUAUCCGGAAUCAUCACCCAGUACCCCGCCCCAAAGGUGACACUAGAGAUAGGCGGCGAACAGAUGAGACAGGUUCUGGUGGACCAGACUUGUCCCGCCAAUCUUAUCUCACAGCUCGUUUUCGAAGAAUUAGAAGAGUUCUGAGGGUCUCUCAAACCGGAAAAUAUCACGUUCGUUGAUUGAUAACACCGGAUUUUGACCAUUUUUAUGGAUCACUUUAAUGUUUUUUACAGGUGUUUUUACUCCAUUUUCAAAGGUUUUCAAAGGAUUUCUAUGUUUUUGGAUUUUAAAAGACUUUUCAGGUAAUUUGGGAUAAAGAGGCACAAAUUGGAACAAAAAGACUCUUUUGGAUAAAUACAGACCGUCAGAACUCUCAUGGAGAGACGAAGAUUUUCUCACCGUCUGAUCACCCUCAAAAUUGGACAACUUAUAGAAGAAUCAACCAGCUUUCAAAUGCACUUGGUUUGGAGACAUUCCAACGGUUGGAUCUCAUGAUAUUCCAUUAGCCCCGGAGCCACUCGAAGACGGCCAGCAAGUCACGCGACCGCGGCCAACAGCCCAUUCCCCGCGGUCACAAGCCUUUCGACCGCGGCCAGCCACCUAUUUCCCGCGGUCACGUCAUUCCCGACCGCGGCCGGCUAACUCUGAACUAAAGCCCAUAUUUCUGAUGCCCAAAGUCAUUCUCAGCCUCAAUUCUGGAACCCUAGAAACCAUGGAGUAUUGAAGACUAUAAAUACUUGUCAUUUAGGUCGUUUUUAGACACCACCCUUCAUACUUUACAGAAACCCUUUUUCCUUUAGCCGUUUUUAUGCGAUUUUUAUAGAAGAUUGUUCAAGUCCGAGUUCUUCAAUAGAGAAGCUUUCUUCAUCUCUUUUCUUUACUGUUUUUGAUUACUUUUACUAAAACCAAUGAUUAUGUCGACCUCAGCCAUGUCUGAGUAGAUCCCGAGUUGGGCUUAGGGUUCCCGAAAGGGGCUCUCAUAAUCGAUUAAGACGUCUAGGUUUAUUGAUCUGGGAUUUCAACUUUGUUCUCUGCUUAUUCUUGUUCUUAUUGCAUGUAUGCUUGAUUGAUCACCUAGUAUCUGAUCUAGAUAGUUUGUGUUGCGAAAAUUUUCAUUAAGUAUCAGCCCUAGAAUGAAACAGACGAUUUUUCCGUAGGAGUGGAAACCUACCUGCGGCGAGAUCGUGAGUAUUGACGAGUCUUGUGCAGCUCUUGCGUUCUCUCCCUUCCAGGGCCAGAGUGGAAACCUACUGGUCAGGGUUGCGAGAAACAGUUGGUUAUGAUCACGACAGUGACGUAGUCAUACCGCCGUACUCUAGCUCUAGAACCCUAUAUAUCGAUAUCCGUCAAUCCCAAUCUAUCUACCCUAGUGUUAAAACCGAUUAUGAUCCCUGUAGAGUUCCCAAAAGCUCAGCGUUUUUAGCCAUAGUUUACAAACCAAUCGAUUUUUACUUGCUUAUUUAGAUCUGCAUUUCAGUUGUUUUAGUUCGAUAUUUUGCUUGCUCUACUUGCUUUCUAUUCGACUUUUCUACUUGUUUUCUAGGAUAGAUUUAUUUGCUUUCUUUAGUUUUAGUUUAAUCCGUGAAAAACAACCAACCUCUAAAACCAAUCUAGUCUAGACAUAAAGUUAGAAACCGUAGAAGAAUACCAGGCACACAAAUCUCUGUGGAUUCGAUCCCUAAAUACUACAACUGAUUAGAUGUGCACUUGCGGCUUUCAUUUGUUUUUGUUAAGGGUAAAACUUGUUCCCUCACGCAGUUGACACGCAUCAUGGAUUACAACGAGUGGGUAACUCGAGCGAUAGAAGAGGUAGCACUCCCAGUUGCCACAGGUAGCAUCAUCCACACGACUUUCAUGGUAGUCAGUACACCAGCUCGGUACCCGGCACUGUUGGGUCAGCCAUGGGUGGACGAUGGAGGACACGGUUUGUGGACACCUACGAAUGGUUGAGUUCCCAGUCGGGCGAAGGAUGGAAAGACUCUGGAUGCAAAAUGAGAACGAUGCAUGAGGCAUGCUAGGGAAGAGAAAUUGGAGAAGGAUGGCAAGGUUCUGAGGGAACAAAACAGCGUCUUCCCCGCCCAAAAGUCCAGAGCCAGUAGAAAGAUCGUGGAUCCCUCAAGUGAGAGAAAAUAAGAAGACAAAGAGAAGGAUAGACAGGCGAAAACGAAAAAGCAUAUAUCUAUUAAAUCUGACUUGUAAUAACUUCCAAAAAUAAUACAUUCAAGAAAGACCCAUAUAGGGGGAAGGCGCGCUACAAUUGGCCAACCAAAAGGUGGAAAAAGAAGUAAAAAAAAAAAGAAACUUCAUCGAGCCGCAAGGAAACUGAGGGGAGAGCUCUGCGAGAAUGCCUACCUUGAGCCAUCAGAUGAAGAGGAAGACGAUGGGAAGAGAUCAGGAGGGGCAGGAGAAUGGUGUUUCUCAUCACUGUACUCAUCAAAGACGCUCCACGCUUCUUCCAGCCUUUAGACGGAUCCUGGAGGGAGAAGCCGACAACCAAAGGGGGCCUCUAGUGACGACAUCCUCACGAAUAAGGAAUGAAGUAAGAAAGUUGGUUUGUGCAGGUGACGGGGUAGUUGAAAUAGGAGGGCAGGGAAGGGACUCAGGCCCACACGCUGGAAACCUACUCGCAAAAAAAAAAAGAAGAAAGAAGGGAGAGAACAGGUCAAGUCAUGAACAAAGGAAGAUAAUCUGAUAACAAAUGGAAGACUACCUGGGAAAUGCCACCGGGUGGGGAAACCGGGAACAUCGGGGGAGGCAGCGAGCAUAAAAGAAUCAUCAUAAGAAUCCACCACCCAAAGCCAGGAUGGAGUACACACUGGAGAGCGCAUCAGAGGCCUUUCCAUGAAUCCGAACGUCAACAAGGAACCCGGAACUUGGACCAGCUGAAGAUAAUAUGUGAUCAUCACUGCGACAGUCUGGUGCCCCGAUAGGUCAAAGAGAACCUGUAAGACGUUCAAUAGGCCCCAGAUGGGGCGGAGGCUGACAAUGUAUAUGAGUAAAACCUAUUUCAAUUUAUAUAUGAGUAAAACCUAUUUCAGUUUAUUUACUAUUUCAGUUCAAAGAAGUAACAAUGUUACUAUAAAUGUAUUUGUUUCUGUAGAAACUUCAAAAAAUUAACUCUGCAAAUAAUUAAUCUUCAUCUUGUUAAGUUGCACCAUAAAAUUUCUGUCUUUCAGAUUUUUACCAAUUUUUUUCUGUUUUGUUAAUGCUGUCAUUGGUAAGACAAGCAUAAACCAGAGUACACCAAACGAUGCUAGUAAGCAUUUUACAAAGAAAAUCAAAGGCAUAAAACUGGAAAAAAGGUGAAAAUAAAGAAAAUAAAGAAAAUAACACAAGGCUAACUUUGGAACGAAAUACCUGAGAUGAAACUUUGGGGAAUUAAGCAGCAUUGGCUCUAGAACGAAUGAGUUGAUGAAGCCAAGAUGAACCACCACGAGCAAUAUAUGAUUGAUGCCUCUGGUCACGAGUAAGGCACACUGCAAUAGAAUUCCACACUUGAUUAGUAUAAUCAAGGCUCUAGAAAUCAAAGGCUGUAAGCAAAUUAAAUAUCGAACAUAGUAUAGGACUGAGAAGUAAAUUAUUCUGAGGAUGAAUUCUACCAAUUCAUUAGAGGUAUCUAGUUACCUAAUAAAUUUGAUUAAACUCAUACCAUAGUAGUAGAAACAAAAUAGAUUCUAAUAUCAUUUGAAAACCAAAAGCACGAAACGAUUAGAAAAAACAACGUGUUCUAUAUUUUGAAAAUUAAAAGAGAGAGAAUAUCUUUUAUAAAAAAAAAGAUGAAACCGUAAAAAUAGCACCAAAAAGACAGUUUCUAAUAACCUUAAAAAAAUAGACAUAAAAGCAUACUUAAAAAUACUGAAAAACGUUAUAUAUCAUACAGUUUCCAAGAACAAAAAAAUGGUAACAGAGGUCAUUCAAAGCCAAAAAAAAAAAAAAAUACAACUAUCUUAAAUAACUUAAAUAUAAAAGGUAAGCCUAAAUCACAUUAGUCGCCAUUAUGUUAACCUUAUGUUGUUGCUUAGUUUUAAAAAAACGACUUCAAAACGAAUGCAAAUUUAUGUUUUAUAAUUCAAAAUAAAGCCUUAAUUAGACAAACAUUAAGAGAUUUAUUUCACAUCAAUCUUCAAAAGUCGACUCCUAAUUUUGCUGAACUUUGUCAUCGUGUGUCCUAAUGCGAUUGACACUCGAACACACUUUUUAAAUGUAAGUUUCAAUUUUAACAAAAUACUUUGUUUUUUGUUAGAAUUUUGUUAGAUUAGGUUUGUUAAUUAGGAAAAAGAUUUUGUUAGAUUAGGUUUUGUUAGAUUAUUGAUUUAUUAGUGUUAAACAAUUAAAAAAAUUUAUGUAAAAUUUAUGUUAGAUUAGUUUUGUUAUUUGUUAGAAUUUAUUCUAGUUUAGAUUUUGUAAACUUAUUUGUUAGAAUUGUUAGAAACAAAUUAUUAGAUUUUUCUAUGUUAGAUUUUUAAAAUUAGAAUUUUAAAAAACUUACAAUACUUUUUUAAUAUGUAUCUAAGAAAUAGAAUCUGUUUUUAAUUAAAUUACAAUAAUUUUUUUCAUACAUCUGUUCUUAUUGGUUUAUAGCUAAUUAUAACCAUUAAAGAUGCCAUUUUUUCUACCUAAUUAUUAGUUAUUAUAAGUUCCUCGAAUUAUAAGUUUUUAUUUUGGAUUCACAAUUAUUUUUACUAAAUAUAAUUUUAUUAAGUUUUUUAAAAAACCUAUUAUAUGUUUUUUACAAAUUAUAAGUUCUUAUAAUUUGAAAUUCGGAAGGUUGACUCAUUACAGAGAUUACUAAGCUCAUGUAUCUGGUACGUCGUCUCAGCCCAACGGACGACGUACCAAUCAUGUAUAUACGUCGAGGACUACACAGAUAGAGGUCCUAGAGUCUGAUGACAUCCCGGAGUCUUCUGUGCGUUCUCUGCCUUCCCAGACGUUCUACAAUAGUAUCAAUGAUUUACUUUAACAGCCAGGACGAGAGUUAUGCACGAUGCUCGAUCCAUUCCGUCAAGGAAAUGCGACUUGGUAAAUUAUUAUUUUUUUUAACGUUUUUAAUCUUAUCGUAAUAUGUUUUAUUGAAAUAAUAAAUAUUUUGUAAUAAAGGUUUGGAUAUUCGAACAAUGGGAUUAGCAAAUAUGUUUUGUGAAUGCUGCAUUCGAUCCUCGAUAAGCCCUACAAAAAGUUCUCGGAAAUUCCUAUCAAAGAGAAAAACGUUUGGUUUAAACAAUUUGCUGUAAGUUUUUAGUUAUGAGUAUUAUAACUAAUAAAUUUUUUUAAUUGGUAUUAUAUAACAAUAAUAUGUUUUUCAUGAUUUUUUAGCAAGACUUUACUUGACAUAGAAACCGCACGUGAACUAUCGAGAAGUUGUUUCUGGCAGAGUGUGCUAAGCAAUCCUCCAGAAACAUGUGCGAGUUGAAACAGAAGUGGAGGAAAGGUCAAGGAAAACCGAAAGGUUUGAAUGCCUCCGUCUGGCAACACUACAUCUCCUAUUGGCAAUAGCCAAAGACGGAGAAGACAUCGAAGAACAGUCCAAAAAUCGGAAGAGUGAACGAAACGGCAAGAGGAAAUACAUCCACAACUCCGGCUCGAUGAGUUUUUUGAGUCGAGAAGACCAAAUGGUAAUAUUAUUUUCCCUUUAACACUUUUGUAUAUCAGUUAUUGUCUUUAAAAUAUUAUUUAUAAGUUUUUUUCUUAAAGACAAAGGCGGCAGGAGAAGAGCCUCUAAAUCAUCUAGAGGGGAUGAUGGCGUGUCACACAAACAAGAACACCAAAGUAAUUCAAGAUCUUAUUGUAGAUGAAAUUUGUUACUAGAUGGAUGAAGAGCUCAGCCAAUAAUCACAAGGUGAUUCUUCCUCUUCCGUCAUUCUCUCGCGCGAAGAAAUCAACCGUCGGGUUCGCGAAGUAAGUUUACUUUUUUGUUUUUCUUUUAUAAUUAAAUUGCUCUUUCUUAUAUAAUUUUGUUUAGUUAAUAACAUGUGUUUGACUUUUGCAGGUAUUUCCCGUUGCAAAAGGACGUUGAUGUGGUCUCGGAAAAAUACUAUACAAAAAGGAGAUAUUGGGCGCUAGCCAGGUUCUCGAAGAUCUUAUCAAGCAGAACCAAGCGUUUCAGGAGAAAGUAACGGCUUUGGAGAAAUCUAAACAGGAUACAGAGAUGAAGCUAGGCGCUACACAAGACGAGCUUGCGACCAUGUCGAGCUGGAUGAGGUCGAGGUUUCCUGAUUUUCCACCAAGUUCAGGGACAAGCGAAAGUACGGGAACGACCGAAAGUACGGGAAUAGGAAAUUAGAAAGUUAUAAAAUUUGAAUCGAAUUUAAUUUAAAUUUAAUAUUUUAAUUAUUUAUAUAAAUAAUUUAAAAUUAUAAGAAAACUUUUUAUUAAAAUAAAAGAGUGGUCGAAAAUCGGUCGGGAAAUUAAAAACCCGCCGUGGGUUUUUAGUGAAAAAACCCCUAAACUAAGUUUGAAUCGGAUAGAAAUCCCUCAACUAUUUUUGUAAUGUAAAAACCUCUAACUAAAUUUUCGUAAUGAUAUAGCCCCUCCGUGAACAGUACCGUCAAAUCUUAACGAAUUACAGUUAAAUGAAAACGUGGUGUUUUGUAUUUAAUAAAAAACAAAAUGACUUCAAUAAAAGAAAACCCAAAAUCGAUUUGAAACUAAAAAUCCCCAAUUUAAAAAUUAGGGUUCUUCAUUCAAUUUGAAAAUCUCUUAAAUUCUUCUUCUAAGUAAAUUCGUUGGAGGAAGAAGAACAAGGUUUUAAACACCAAAGUAAAACAGUUGCCUCAUCUUCUUCCAAACUUCAGAUUUAUGAUUCUUUCUUUUCUUUCUCCUAUUUUGAGAAAAUAUUUCUCUCAAUUCAAGGGCUUUUCUUUCAAAUUCAUUUUAAUCAACACAACAAAUCAUUUUCAAUCUCACCCAAUUGACUUCCAAACCAUAAAAACUACUUAGAAUCACACUUUCAAAAAUUAGGGUUCAUCAAUUUAGGUUUAAGAAUUUGGGGAUUUUAGAGAUUAGGUUUAAUUUGUGGAUUCUUAUAUCUGGUUUUCAAAAAAAUUGUUGUUUAUAGUAAAAAUUGUGUAGUUUUUGCUUAAAAAGAACGAUUUGUUAAGAUUUGACGGUGUUGUUCACGGAGGGGCUAAAUCAUUACGAAAACUUAGUUGAGGGGAUUUUUACGUUACAAAAAUAGUUGAAGGGUUUUUAUCCGAUUCAAACUUAGUUGGGGGGGGUUUUAUCCGAUUCAAACUUAGUUGAGGGGUUUUUUCACUAAAAGCCCACCGGGAAUCUGUUGGAAAUUAUCAAAUUCUAUAUUUCUCGGAUUUCCGUCGGGAAUCAUAGCGCAGUCGGGAAAGGAUCGGGAAUACCAGGUCCUUUGGAAUUCGGUCGGAAACGUUAUGCCCGUUAGAAAUCUGUCGGAAAAAUGGUUUCCUCGGAUUCGGUCAGAAAUUCCUGACCGAUUUCCAACCAAUUUUUUUCCGACAAGAGGAUUCCGAUGACUGUAUUUUGUCGGAAACUCGUCGGAAAAGCCUUUUCCAGAAAGGUUUUUCUGACGGAUAUGAUCGUCAGAAAUCACAUGUUUUUUUGUAGUAGCCCAUCAUAUAUGAAUGUACAAUCACCAUAUCUCGUCUAUCAUGCACAAGGCAUGAUGCCAUUGGUCCAUCCGUACUAUAAGCUAGGUAGAUAAAAUCAAUUAUAGUGUGUUUAUAAAAGAAUUGAUCCAAAAUAGAAUCACUUGCUAACUAACGAUUCACAUUAAAUCUAACAGAGCAGGCACCUAGUUCGACAAGAGGAUUUAUCCUCAGGUAUACAUUCCAAGCAUCAGUUCACACAAUUUGGAGGGAACAGAACAAUAGGAGGCAUGGUGAACCGAGCACACCUGGAGACAUUCUUGUCAAAAGACUCAACGUGAUGGUUCGGAACAGACUAAGCUCGCUACGCAGGGAAGGAGUGAAAAAUUUUGAAGAUGGGCUGCAAACUUGGUUUGCCACAAGAACCACAUAAAAAUUUCAAUAUAGUUUCUUCUUUAUUUGAGCCAAGAUUAAUAAACAGUAAGAGAAAAGUUGGAGAAAAGUUGUAAAAACAGUUGUAUUUUUUUAUUUUGAAUAUAAUUUAAUAUUUUAUUCAAAAAAAAUAUUGAUUCACAUUAAUUAUGUGUACUUUUACACCAGUUAAAAUAAUUAAUUUAUUUUAAAAUUUUAAAAAAAAUAUUUUUAAUUCAAAAUGGAUACUAGUCAAUAUUAACUUGCAUCACUUUUGAAAAACUAUCACAUAUAACACUUACAUUAUCCAUAUGUUAGGGUUAAAAAUGAUUACGAGCGAAUCAUUUAAUUAAACACCUAUGAUAAAGUUGAAAGAAGUUAAGUAUGACUUUAAGACAAUUUUUCUCUUUAAAACGUAAAAGACACAAUCCCUUUUUCUCUCCGCCAUAAUCCAACAUAGCUCAUCAAGAUUGAUCCAUUGGAUCGACAAAGCCCAUCCAAAAAGCAAGGCCCAUUAAUUCAACAGGCCCGAAUAACCUGACUGAGCUAAUCUGCAAAAAGCGACGAGGUCGCACAACUAAGGCAUCUGAGGGGGUCGAUCCAGUCUAGCUAACGGGCCGUACGACCUACUCUGCCCGUGAAUAACCUAAUCGUUCUACUAUAAAUGAUCAUGCACCACAUUUGAAACAUGAUCCAUAAUUCUUUUUAAAAACUGACUUAAAACGGAUGCAAAUUUUAGACUUUAGCAUUUUAAUUAAAGCACAAUAAAAACCGUCUAAAAAGAGACUUGCAAAAGAAUGACACCAAACCAUCUUGUUUAAAACCUUAAUUCUUAAAAGAGGUUUUUUUCACAGCAUUAAUCACCAAAAAUUGACUGCUAACGAUGCUGUACUUCAUCAUCGUGUGUUCUAAUGCAAUUAACACUCGAGAGCACGCUGUUCUAGUCACUGGCAAGAAACAAUGAAACAUAUUAAAUAUGCAUCAAACUUAUGACAUAUACCUUUUUGGUGGGAUGAAUUCGUUAAAGCCUAAGAAUUAUAGAGAAAAUGACUGAGACAUACCUUUUUGUCUAAAUAUUUAUUUUUAUUCAUUGUGUCAAUGAACGUUUGCAAAAUCCAAUUCAAAACCCGAGACAUGAAUAAAAAAAAAAGAGGAAAAUUCCCCCCCCCCCCCCCCCUGGCAUUCUUUGCUUAUAACAAACUGUAAAUGGAUUGCAAUGGAGUCUUUUUACAAAAAUUUACUAUAAGACUGAAUGAUUUACAGAGCUUCAAACAAAUCGAGGUGUUGUCUUUUACAUGUAAAGAAUUACAAGUAAGACAUGGAAAAAAAAGACAAUCGUAAUACUAAUAUGUUUCAACAGCAAAACAGACAUGCCUAUAAUCUCGGUCCAUAUUCACAAAAGAGAUCUAACAACUCAAACCGACAACAGAACAUUGCAGGUUGGCUUAUUAAUUUAUAUAUUUUGUCUUUGAAUAUUGAAGGUCAGUUUGGAGAAUUGCGAAAACUAAGCCAAUUUAAUUGAUAACGUUUCUUGACCAAAUCACAAUGUACUACGAAAUUCAUAUAUUAUCCUGAAGAAAACAUUGCACGCCACCCACAUUCUGAUCCCUCGAAAGUAGCAACGUUAUAAUCAAAAUCACUUCGCUCCAUAUAAAUGGUGUCAAGCUCAAACGUUAUUUACAUGAGAAUCUCAUGUAUGUUUAUUUUUCUUGAAAUAUUGAGCAUUAAACGUUUUCCAAGUUGCUAAUCAAAUUGUGUCAUAAAAAAGACACAAAUAUAAUACUCUCGUUGGAAUAAAGAGGGUAAAUUUUCAAUGAUUAACUCGUUGCACUAAGUUGAAAAAUAUUAUUUAGAUAUAUUCUCAAGAUCAUAAACAAUAACCAAAUAGCAAUGAUCUUAAACUAUUUAUGAGCAUGAAAAUAUAUAUAUAUAGUCUAAAAUGACUUAAUUGAUCUCACAUAAGUUCAAAUCUGAGAUAAAGAAAAAACAACGAAAACAGAGUUCAAUUCUAGAAAAAAACUAGAAAGAAGAAAACAUUAAAUAUGAUUGUUUCACUACUCUUGAUGAUGUUUCAGACACAUCAAGAGAGCUAUUAUUAUCUGGCAUGCUUGGGCACAACCUGAACUUAUAACCUUAGAUAAAUUCAAUGAGAUCAUUCUUUUGAGACAUGCUUUUUAUGUAAUUGAUCCUUGCAUUAUCAGGUUCGAAUAGCUUGAUCUUUGGGUUUCUAGGCUUCGUCAACGUUAACUUCUCUAGAGAUUUUGCGUACCGGACAAAGAACUCCAUUAUAUCAAGCUCAUGCGAGUGAUUUUUAUAGCCCAUGAUCUCGACAAACUUGAUACUGUUCAAACAGUAGUUGUGAAUCCGAAUAUGUUGCUGAUGAUGAACCUCCCAAAAAACUCCAGGUUCAAAUGUGUAAUCAUUUAUCUGCACAUAGCAAAUCAUUAGUAGAUUAGUAUAUAUAUUGAGAGAGAGAGAGAGAGAGAGAGAGAGAGAGAGAGAGAGAGAGAGAGAGAGAGAGAGAGAGAGAGAGAGAGAGACAUACAUCGAUCAAAACCUUUUUGAGGUUAGGGCACUGUUGGAGGAAUUGAGCAAUGUCAAAAAGAUUGCAAACUGUUGGAGCUUUAAAAGAAAUCUGAAAUUCUUGUAAGCUCCAAAAGCAGAAAAUCUGUCUUCUAAUUGCUCCUCCAUUGUAUCUACACGUCAAAGCCUAGACAUAUACAUGUGAAAGGAAACAUCAAAACAUCAAAGCACGAGUGAAAAAAUUUUAACAGGAGAAAUUAACAUGUGAAAGCUGCAGUCUAUGUGUGAUGACUGAUGAACACUCUCUAUGAUCAUGAACAUUAAAAUGUUAAAGAGUUGAGAAAAUGAUACUCUAGAAUCUAACAACUUAAGCUUUAAAAACUGAUGCAUGCAAAAAAAAUGAGCAACGAUAUUUAGAAGAAUAAGAUUUUCGUCAGAUUUUAUUUGUUUUCAGUGUCAGAUCUUACUGUAUCUUUUAUAUAUAGAGAUUAUUCUCGUCUUUCUGCAGAUGAUAGAUCAAGUACUUUUUGUAAUUUUUGUUGGAUUCUACAACUAAGUUAAUUCUGAAAGUUGUCUAUCAUUGAUUUCUAGAUACCCACUAAGACAAAAAUGAAUAUAAAAAAUAAUUCAAGGCAUGUCUAAUGAGGUUGGUAUAAGGUCUUAUAUAUAUAUAGGUCUUUCAAAAAUUCUUGUUGGGUCAAAAAGUUUUCAAAUUUGCAACCUCAUUAACGAAUGAUUACAAAACAGAUUAAAUGGUUUGGUCAGCCAAAUAUAUUAUAUAGAAGGCAAAAAGGUUUUAGUAGUGGUGUUGAGAAUUAGGUCGAAUCUAACUAGAAUAAAGUUGAAAACAAGAGAGAAUUUAAAACAAAUUGAAGCAGAGACCUAAUUUUGGGGUUUCUUUAUUAUUGUUGGAAUGAAUAUAUAAUACAAACCUUUAGACCCGUGUUUAUCAACCUUAAAAUUUGAUUCCUAAUCCUAAUUAGUCAAUGAAAGUUUUUUCUUUUAAUCCCAAUAAAAAAUUGUAUCAUACUUAUUAAGUCAAAUGCAUAUAUAACCUUUUUGGUGGGAUGAAAAUAAUAAGAUUCAUUUGCUCAAGAAGGACCAUAGCAUACGAACUAAAUGAGAUUUUAAGUCAUGUCUCAUUCACCUAAGACCUAAGUGAUACAAUUUCCCAUUCGAUCUAUUUUAUUUGUUAACGUCUAAGAUAAAUCAUUCACCAAAGACCUAAGUGAUACAAUUUCCCAUUCGAUCUUCUUUAUUAAUGGAAAACGGUAUUCAAAAUAAUAACUCUGUAAUCCUGUGGUAAUUCAAAUUUCCCUCUCUCUCUAUCUUUUCUCUUCAUUUUAUAGAAACCAGAACAAAAUUCUAGAUGUUAUUAAAAAGGAGAAUUAAUUGCUUGAGUGUUCCAUAUGAUUAUUUAAACAACUUCUUCAUAUAAAAGUUUGCAGAAAAUAGAAAAGCACAUAUCCAUAAUAGCGAUCACUUCCUUAAAAGAUGUCUAAAUAAAGAUUUUUUAUGAUCUCAACUCGUGCAUAUGAUAUCAUAAACUCUACUCAGCUAUUAUAAAAUAACUUGCAAAAAAAAAAAACUAUUUCAUGAAUUUUUUUAAAAAAAAAAACUAAAUUACAAUAAAAAAAAUAAGACUUACCUCAAGAAAGAUGUUGGUCGUUGCGAGGACACGAACUCUUAUAUAAGCCCUCAUAUUAGCAAGCAGCAUGUCAGAUGGAUCGGAAUAACGCCAAGAAAAACUUCGAUUAUAAUGGAGUUUUGCCUCUUUAAGUGCGUGCACUCUUGAAAAGUAAACCAUCUUAUUGCAAUAUCCAUCAUACUUGUAGCAUUCGAGAGUAGGUGCAUCCACAAUAAUUUCAAAAAGAUUUGGCAUAGUAGACACAACUAGCGACUUAAACUUCUUAUGAUUUUGGGCGUUGAUGCUCAAUAUCCCAUACAUUAGACAGUUGAUAAGCUCAAGGGUCUCAAGGUGGAUGCAGUUGCUGAAUAUUGCAUCUAUCAUGUCUUUAUUCAGUUCAUUAAUCUUAGUUAACGCAAGUGUCUUCAAUAACUUCAAACCCUUUAGAGAAUUAUCUGGUAUUUUGAAGCUACACCAUCCUAGCUUCAAAACUGUUAGCGUCUCGAUGGCCGAGAAAUCGACCGGGAUGUUGGCAACUUUUUUUGAUUUAGAGAAAUCCAACACAAGUUCUUGAAUGUUUUUACCAAGACAUGUAUUGAUCCAUGAAAGUAUCUUAUCUUCCACUCCGAUGUGAUUGAGAAGUAGCACAAAUCGGUUAAUCUCCGAGCCUUUGUAAUCAUUAAAAACGCUUUCAAUGAUGCGUACAGCCUUUUGUUGACCGCAUCUUACAGAGUAUAUUUUGCUGAAAUCAAGGUCGCGGGACCGGAUCUCUGUGUCUUUAAACUUCUUGGACACAGAACGAUUUCGUAAAACAUAUUGAAUAGGGAGACAUACCGACAUGAUGUGGUCCACAAGGUCGUCAGGCAAAGUUUCAGUGAUUUUUGUCUUCUUUUGAGAGGAUUCCAUCCUUUUCAUGAAAGAGCAUUAGAGUUUUUCACAAUAAUUUUCAGUGAGUAAUGAUUUAUAUACAGAUUACCAUGAAAAACUCAUAGAUUUUUUGACUAUAUAUACUUAUAAUUUAUUAUUGAUUUAAGCAAAAUAAUUCUAUGAUACAUUUAAUUUGUUUCUUUUAUCUUUUUACAUAUAGCAAAAUUGUACUUUCUAUAUUUUUGAGAGAAAAGAUUGACUGGUGUAUUUCUUACCUUAUGAAGAAAAUUAACAAUACUUAAUAUUAGGUAUGGUAUUAAUAGUUACAUUAAGAUUAAAAGAUAAUGUUAAUACAUAUAUAUGUAAUACAAAUUUCGUUUUUCCAUAAACAUAUAUUUUGGACCUAUUUAUUAAUUUUUUUUGGGGCCAAAUAUUUAUAUCACUGACUAUUCUAAAUCAAUAUCAUUUAUUUCAUUGAACAGGAAAUGUUUGCAUGUUUGUUAAUAUAACUUUUUUUACGAUAAAGUAGUUAGACACAUCAUAGACACGGAUCUCUCUUAUUACUCUGGACUUCAAAAAACGCCAAAACUAAUUAGUAACUAAGAUUUAUAUGUACAUGUUAAAAUUUUUGAUUAUAUUUAAAUUUAUAGUUAACAUAUCUUAUGAACUUAAUUUUUUUUUCUGGCUGGUAAAAGUUUUCAAAAAAAAAUUAAUAGAUUUUUAUUAACUUUUAUUUUCAACUUCAUUUCUUUAUUUUUCAUUUUUAUAAAUUUAAUCAAUUUUUUAAGUUUUUUUUAUUAGUAGACAGAUUAUCUAACACUAUUAUUUUUUUUCAGUUAAUAUUUGAGUACAACCUAUUUCCGUUUAUUUACUAUUCCUUUUUUUUUUGUCGUCUAAUAUUCCUCACUGUAAUAGUGUUGGGGUUUGAAUUUUUUUAUGUUAUGUAAUAUUUAUUCUGCAUUAGUAAUAUUGAUUUUAUUUUAGUAUACAUUUUUGAUUGAGAAAUUGAAUGGAAUAGUCCUAAUAAACUUAAUCUUCUCUAAUAUAGUCCUUCAUUUGGGAGAGGACCAAAAUAGCAUUCAUUUAACAUAAACCAGUUUAGAAAAAACAAGUGAUUCAAAAUCUGCAUGGAUUGGAAGAGAUGAUUCAACAACGGAGAGUUUCCAAUCUGUUAUACUUAUGAAAUGAGUGGUUACAGAUUUACAAGCGGAGUCUGGAAGCGACGAGAAGAAAUUGGCGGCGACAAGAGGACAUUCUUAAAUUUGUAAAAGUGAUUUCUAAAAAGUAAGAAGACUUUCGAAACUCUAAAUUUAGGUAGCAUUUAUAAAUAUUUGGAAAAAUUUCAUAUAAAUUUAAGAGUGUCUUCUUUAAUAAUCACGAAACAAGAAAACGACCUUCUAAAAUUUGAAGAAUGUUUUUUUCAAGGGCUUCUCAAAGAGUUUUCUGAAGAUGUUUUUAAACCCCAGAAAUUUACUAGGAAGCUUUUAUAAAUUUUUAGGAAUGCUUUUCUAAAUGUUAGGAAAUUCUUACUACAAAUUUUUAUGAAGAGUUUAUAUAUGUUUUCUAAGAGUUUCAAAACCUCUAGAAACAUUAAUAGGUUUGCAGAGCAUUUCUCAUGUUUUAGGAAGUCAUUUUAAACUUUUCGGAAUGCUUUCCUAAAUGAUAGGAAAGUCUUACUAAAAGGAUUUAUGAAAGUUUUUUUCAAAGAUUUAUGAAUUAUAUGAAUGUUUCCUAAGAGUUCAAAGAAACCAUUAAUAUUAAAAAGGUUUACAAAGUUUUCCUAAUGUUUUAGGAAGCGCUUCCGUCUGCCAAAAUAUUAAAACGCAGCGACAAGAUGUUCUUCCCGCUCCAGUUUGUUUAGAUGGAUCGUUGCUGCAAUGAACUCACUGUAAUCAAUUGUCCUACUGUUUCCCACAUCAGCCUGCCAAUACAAGAGCUCGUCACUGAAAACACACAAUAAUUAACUUUCGUUUUGUAGCCAAAUGAGAUUAGAUUUUGCAGCUUCCAUUAGAUCAUGGAUCUCUGUAUCUUUCAAGGUUGAUCCAUAUUUCCUCAGCCUAGUUUUGAGUUCAACAAACUUAAUAGCACCGCUGUUAUCAAUAUACAUUGCCUGAAACAUUUCUCUUAAACCAGCAAUCUCUUCUUCCGAGAGGCUCUCAGCUAUAAAACCUGAUGACCCCAAAAAAAAAAAAAAAACCAACACAAAUAGGUUCAAGGGAAGUGAUGCAUAGGCCAUAGAAGAUACACGAGUUUGUGAAUGCUUGUUAAUGAUUAGGAAAUUCCACUCAAUAUAGGUUUACAAGCUUUACUAAUGUUUAUCAAAAUAUUUCUAACAUUUUUAAAAGAGUUAGGAUGUCUUUCUGAACUUUUAGGAAAACCUUCAUAAAUGUAUAUAAAGAUUUCCUAAAAUUUUAACCAUAUAAAGGUCAUUCCAUCAAAACUAACGCCUCAGCUGGUCUCUUGGCACAAUCUCUCUAGAUCAAGAUUCAAUCAUUCAUGCCACUUUUUUUUCUUUUCUUAGAGAACGAAAUAUCUACAAGAAGAGCUACUGUCAAUCAAAAGUUCAUGAGAAGAGCGGCAUAUCAUAAGUUCUAUGGUUAAUUUUUGUUUGUUUCCUGCUACUGUCGAUCACAACUUCAAAAUCAUGAUCAAGAUCAAACAUAGAAGACUAAUGCAAGAACCCAUUAAAGACAAAACCAUAACAUUUUGAAUAUAAAUCAUGUGAAUUCAGAACCUAAGUGAUCUUUCAAACCAAAAUUCUAUAUUCUUCAAUUCAUAUUCAGAAUUUAUUACAGAUUAAUCCAACAAGGAGUUAGAUUCUUUACUUUUCGUGUGUUCAUAAACUAAGCAAUCAUUCAAAACCAAAUUUAACAUUACAAAAU
rnacentral:lncRNA from 1 species